GUAGGUGGCAAGCGUUGUCCGGAAUUAUUGGGCGUAAAGCGCGCGCAGGUGGUUCUUUAAGUCUGAUGUGAAAGCCCCCGGGCUCAACCGGGGAGGGUCAUUGGAAACUGGGGAACUUGAGUGCAGGAGAGGAAAGUGGAAUUCCACGUGUAGCGGUGAAAUGCGUAGAUAUGUGGAGGAACACCAGUGGCGAAGGCGACUUUCUGGCCUGUAACUGACACUGAGGCGCGAAAGCGUGGGGGAGCAAACAGGAUUAGAUACCCUGGUAGUCCACGCCGUAAACGAUGAGUGCUAAGUGUUGGGGGGUUUCCGCCCCUCAGUGCUGCAGCUAACGCAUUAAGCACUCCGCCUGGGGAGUACGGUCGCAAAGACUG
rnacentral:rRNA from 1 species